GCGUAAUCGAUGGGAAACGGGUUAAUAUUCCCGUACUUGUUAUGACUGCGAUGGAGGGACGGAGAAGGCUAGGCCAGCGCGGCGAUGGUUGUCCGCGUUUAAGGCGGUAGGCUGGUGACUUAGGUAAAUCCGGGUUGCUAAGGCCGAGAACUGAUGACGAGUGAUUCUUUGAAUCGCGAAGUGGUUGAUGCCAUGCUUCCAGGAAAAUCUUCUAAGCUU
rnacentral:rRNA from 12 species